rnacentral:rRNA from 1 species
AUCGAACGCUGGCGGCAGGCCUAACACAUGCAAGUCGAGCGAGAGGCGGACUGGCGAAUAAUGUAUGGGAAACUGCGUGAUGGAGCGGGCUGAGUAGUGGAACCGGUAGAUACUAGCGCAUACCACGAUAUCUGCUGAGAUGGGUGUAGCUAGCGGGUGGGGUAAUGGCUCACCUAGGCGACGAUCCCUAGCUGGUCUGAGAGGAUGACCAGCCACACUGGAACUGAGACACGGUCCAGACUCCUACGGGAGGCAGCAGUGGGGAAUAUUGGACAAUGGGCGCAAGCCUGAUGCAGCAAUGCCGCGUGUGUGAAGAAGGCCUUCGGGUUGUAAAGCACUUUCGGCAGGGAGGCGUUAUUCACAGAAAAAGCACCGGCUAACUCCGUGCCAGCAGCCGCGGUAAUAC